rnacentral:rRNA from 1 species
GGCCGCGGGAAUUCGAUUCGGGCCUAACACAUGCAAGUCGAACGGAGCUUUGAGAUAAGUUUACUUAACGAGAAGCUUAGUGGCGGACGGGUGAGUAACGCGUGGAUAACCUGCCCAAGGGGCCGGGAUAACGCCGGGAAACUGGUGCUAAUACCGGAUAAGUUGCUUUGGUUGCAUAACCAGAGCAAGAAAGGAGCAAUCCGCCCCUGGAUGGAUCCGCGUCCCAUUAGCUAGUUGGUGGGGUAACGGCCUACCAAGGCGACGAUGGGUAGCCGGCCUGAGAGGGUGGCCGGCCACACUGGGACUGAGACACGGCCCAGACUCCUACGGGAGGCAGCAGUGGGGAAUCUUCCGCAAUGGGCGAAAGCCUGACGGAGCAACGCCGCGUGAGUGACAAAGGCCCUUGGGUCGUAAAACUCUGUCUUCAGGGAAGAAAAAAAUGACGGU